GAAUUCGCCCUUAGAGUUUGAUCCUGGCUCAGGAUGAACGCUGGCGGCGUGCUUAACACAUGCAAGUCGAGCGGAGAUAAAUUGAAAGCUUGCUUUUAAUUUAUCUUAGCGGCGGACGGGUGAGUAACGUGUGGGCAACCUGCCUCAUACAGAGGGAUAAUCAUGUGAAAACGUGACUAAUACCGCAUGUCGUUUCGGGAGGGCAUCCUCCUGAAAGAAAAGGAGCAAUCCGGUAUGAGAUGGGCCCGCAUCUGAUUAGCUAGUUGGUGAGAUAACAGCCCACCAAGGCGACGAUCAGUAGCCGACCUGAGAGGGUGAUCGGCCACAUUGGGACUGAGACACGGCCCAAACUCCUACGGGAGGCAGCAGUGGGGAAUAUUGCACAAUGGGGGAAACCCUGAUGCAGCAACGCCGCGUGAAGGAAGACGGUUUUCGGAUUGUAAACUCCUGUUGUUGAGGAAGAUAAUGACGGUACUCAACAAGGAAGUGACGGCUAACUACGUGCCAGCAGCCGCGGUAAAACGUAGGUCACAAGCGUUGUCCGGAAUUACUGGGUGUAAAGGGAGCGCAGGCGGGAAGACAAGUUGGAAGUGAAAUCCAUGGGCUCAACCCAUGAACUGCUUUCAAAACUGUUUUUCUUGAGUAGUGCAGAGGUAGGCGGAAUUCCCGGUGUAGCGGUGGAAUGCGUAGAUAUCGGGAGGAACACCAGUGGCGAAGGCGGCCUACUGGGCACCAACUGACGCUGAGGCUCGAAAGUGUGGGUAGCAAACAGGAUUAGAUACCCUGGUAGUCCACACUGUAAACGAUGAUUACUAGGUGUUGGAGGAUUGACCCCUUCAGUGCCGCAGUUAACACAAUAAGUAAUCCACCUGGGGAGUACGACCGCAAGGUUGAAACUCAAAGGAAUUGACGGGGGCCCGCACAAGCAGUGGAGUAUGUGGUUUAAUUUGACGCAACGCGAAGAACCUUACCAAGUCUUGACAUCCUGCGACGGACAUAGAAAUAUGUUUUUCCUUCGGGACGCAGAGACAGGUGGUGCAUGGUUGUCGUCAGCUCGUGUCGUGAGAUGUUGGGUUAAGUCCCGCAACGAGCGCAACCCUUAUGGUCAGUUACUACGCAAGAGGACUCUGGCCAGACUGCCGUUGACAAAACGGAGGAAGGUGGGGAUGACGUCAAAUCAUCAUGCCCUUUAUGACUUGGGCUACACACGUACUACAAUGGCGUUAAACAAAGAGAAGCAAGACCGCGAGGUGGAGCAAAACUCAGAAACAACGUCCCAGUUCGGACUGCAGGCUGCAACUCGCCUGCACGAAGUCGGAAUUGCUAGUAAUCGCAGAUCAGCAUGCUGCGGUGAAUACGUUCCCGGGCCUUGCACACACCGCCCGUCA
rnacentral:rRNA from 1 species